UCCCAGACUCCUACGGGAGGCAGCAGUGGGGGAUAUUGCACAAUGGGGGGAACCCUGAUGCAGCGACGCCGCGUGGGUGAAGAAGCGCCUCGGCGCGUAAAGCCCUUUCAGCAGGGAAGAAAAUGACGGUACCUGAAGAAGAAGCCCCGGCUAACUACGUGCCAGCAGCCGCGGUAAUACGUAGGGGGCAAGCGUUAUCCGGAUUUACUGGGUGUAAAGGGAGCGUAGACGGCAGUGCAAGUCUGGAGUGAAAGGCGGGGGCUCAACCCCCGGGACUGCUCUUGGAACUGCGCGGCUGGAGUGCAGGAGGGGCAGGCGGAAUUCCUUGUGUAGCGGUGAAAUGCGUAGAUAUAAGGAAGAACACCAGUGGCGAAGGCGGAUGACUGGACGGCAACCGACGGUGAGGCGCGAAAGCGUGGGGAGCAAACAGGAUUAGAUACCCCAGUU
rnacentral:rRNA from 1 species